GCAAGUCGAGGGGCAGCGGGUAAGUAGCUUGCUACUUAUGCCGGCGACCGGCGGACGGGUGCGUAACGCGUAUGUAACCUACCUUUGACAGGGGGGUAACAUCGAGCAAUUGGUACUAAUACCCCAUGACAUCGCCGGAUGCAUAUUCGGUGGUUGAAAACUCAGGUGGUCAGAGAUGGACAUGCGUUGUAUUAGCUAGUUGGUGAGGUAACGGCUCACCAAGGCGACGAUACAUAGGGGGACUGAGAGGUCAAGC
rnacentral:rRNA from 1 species